rnacentral:rRNA from 1 species
AAGUCGUAACAAGGUUUCCGUAGGUGAACCUGCGGAAGGAUCAUUAUUGAAAUAAACCUGAUGGGUUGUUGCUGGUUCUCUAGGGAGCAUGUGCACACCUUGUCAUCUUUAUAUCUCCACCUGUGCACUUUUUGUAGACCUUUCAGGUCUAUGUUGCUUCAUUUACCCCAAUGUAUGUUAAUAGAAUGUUGUGCCUAUAUAAUAUAUACAACUUUCAGCAACGGAUCUCUUGGCUCUCGCAUCGAUGAAGAACGCAGCGAAAUGCGAUAAGUAAUGUGAAUUGCAGAAUUCAGUGAAUCAUCGAAUCUUUGGACGCACCUUGCGCUCCUUGGUAUUCCGAGGAGCAUGCCUGUUUGAGUGUCAUUAAUAUAUAUCAACCUUCUCCUUGUUGGAGAGGUGUUUGGAUGUGGGGGUUUGCUGGCCUCUUAAAAAGAUUCAGCUCCUCUGAAAUGCAUUAGCAGAACAACCCGUUCAUUGGCGUGAUAACUAUCUACGCUAUUGAAUGCGAUGGGGCAGUUCAGCUUUCUAACAGUCUUUGGACAAUUCAUCAUUAAUGUGACCUCAAAUCAGGUAGGACUACCCGCUGAACUUAA